AGCGAACGCUGGCGGCAGGCUUAACACAUGCAAGUCGAACGGUCCUUCGGGAUAGUGGCGGACGGGUGAGUAACACGUGGGAACGUACCCUUAGGUUCGGAACAACACAGGGAAACUUGUGCUAAUACCGGAUAAGCCCUUCGGGGGAAAGAUUUAUCGCCUUUGGAGCGGCCCGCGUCUGAUUAGCUUGUUGGUGAGGUAAUGGCUCACCAAGGCUACGAUCAGUAGCUGGUCUGAGAGGAUGGCCGGCCACACUGGGACUGAGACACGGCCCAGACUCCUACGGGAGGAAGCAGUGGGGAAGCUUGCGCAAUGGGCGAAAGCCUGACGCAGCCAUGCCGCGUGGAUGAUGAAGGUCUUGGGAUUGUAAAAUCCUUUCACCGGGGACGAUAAUGACGGUACCCGGAGAAGAAGCCCCGGCUAACUUCGUGCCAGCCGCCGCCGUAA
rnacentral:rRNA from 1 species